UGGCUACCCGCAAUGGAUAUUAAUUUUGGGAUUUAACAAAACGUUGGAGAUAUUUGGGAAAUUUUAAAACUGACAGAAUCAGCAAUCUCUGUCACUUUUGAAAUCCUACAAAUCUUAAAUGUAAUUAGUACAAAAUACGCAGCAAUAUGUCAUCAGAAUAGUAAAGUAAAAGAUUUAAAAUGGAUAUGUUUAUUUCCAGAACAAGCAGGAAACUAGAAUGGACAACUUUUUAAAAUCAAAUCACUGAAGAUUUAAGAAUUGUAAACCUAAAAUUAUCAGUUACUAUAUCUUGGCAAUAUAUUGAUUUACAUAUCUAUAAGGAUCGAAGUCUGUUUGGAAAGAUAUUCUAUGCCAGUGAUGUUCGCGACUAGAAAGAAAAUUGUCAUGUUGAAUUUACAUGAAAUUCUUCGAAAAUUCAUUUCGAUGUGCCAUGAAAAAACAGUGAGCUCGCAGUAGUCGACUGUUCAAUACUCUGUGCACACAGCUGAGUCCAAAUGGAAAAUAGAAAUACUUAAUGAAUAAUUAAGGAAUGUUAAAACGUUCAAAGAGAUCAUUAAUCUACCUGUUUAAAAACAUUUUGGGUGAUUCCGAUAUUUGUGAUUUACCUGCCCUCCCAAUUAGCAUCAUUAAAAACUUUCAGGAGUAUACCUAAAUAUAUAGCCGAAGUAUGUAGUCUGUUUCUUUGAUAUCUUCGAAAAGACAGCCAAACAGAUGGUUUGUAAGUUAAGUAUAAAAAUAAAAUGUGUAUAUAUAAUACGUAUGCUUUCUUCUGUGACAAAUAACAAAGAAUAACAAGCUACGACGCGGCGAAGUUACUUAUUCCAGCAAAUAAUACACUAGCUAAAGGUGAAGGUGUGAGGUGGCUGACAUCAUAUAAGAGCACUCAACGUAAAACGGGUUGUUGUCGUUGUUGUCGCUGUCUCCUUCGCAGCACUUAAUUUGUCUGUCAGAAUGAUCUAGUCUGCGCCUGGUGCAUACGUUUUUUGAAUUGUGCAAACCGAGUGCCACUUAAAACAAUGCAGUCGCAACACAAACACACACCGACACACACAUGUGGACUCUUACUUGACCCAGAUACUGACCGGAUGGAUGCUUCAAGCUUAACCUAAGCCAGUUCAAGCAUACGGAUAAUCCUUAUUCUGAUUAAUGUGAGUUCAACGUGCUUAAGGAUGCCGGGCAAGCGAUAUUCUAUUCUCCAAUCGACUUCGGAAACCAUUGUCCUGCAAAUGACGGGUGAAUAGCUGGCGUUGCCAAAAACGAAGAAGCUGCCUCGAAAGUUGAUUGUAAACUAUUCUAUAGUCGUUCUCAGCCUUGUAAAUUUGUAGCAGCAUCGGAAUACAUUUCCUCAAUAUAUAUUGUUAAACAUGCUGCUUCUGUAUGUAACAAUUAAGUAAAAAAUCAACACAUAUACUGCAUAUAUUGUGCGCAA